rnacentral:lncRNA from 1 species
UCUCUCUCUCUCUCUGACCUUGGCCUUUUCCAACGAAGGUGAGUUCUAAGGGUGACAGUGGAGGUUUGAGCAAGGGACAGAGGUGACCCAGGGCAAACGCACAGGCUCAGAAUCAGAGGACUGGUCGAACUGGUCCAGCUGUAACUGCCCAUGUAGUCUGACCACGAGCCCUGGGUGUUCUGUGCCAGAGGACUCCUAGGCCAGAAUGGACGUCACCAGGAAGCAGCUGCAUUCAGAUGGUGACUCUUAGGUGACUGGGAUUUUAUAUACCUAGCGUUCUAAAAUCAUCGUUUGUGCCUCAUGAAAAGUGAAAGCAUCAGGAAGUUCGCAUAUUCUUCUCUAUAUUCAACCAGACCAAACUCCGCUUCAGUUAUCUGUGAUUAUGGUCAGGAGUGCAGCAUAGUUUCUCAAGGAGGCUUUUGUUCCAAGCACAGCUGCCAUCCUCUGUCUCAAAGCCAAGAGACAAGCUGAUGGUAGAAAAAGGCAGCUCUUUUCAAGGGAGGGAAGAGAGGGGAUGUUUUCAGGCGGCCUCCAAGGCUGAUGACUCUCCUGCUCUCUAGGCGGUGGCUCCAAGGAAGGAGGCACAUCCCAGGCCAAGAGAGCAGGCGUGGCUGGAACAGAGGAUCCUCACUCAGCAGUGCCUUCAGCAGAGAGGCUGGGGCAUUGCCAGGUGGAGUGAUUUAGCAUCCCGGCCAGGAGGGGGCGCCUGUCCUUCUCCAAAUGCUGCGUUCCGAUCAUCUUGCUCAGCCCUCGGUGGCCAGCAGGUGGCGACGAAACCUGCCCUUGCGGCCUCUUGCCAAGCGCAGGCAGGCGCAGCAUCCCUGCGGUCUUCCCUGCGACCGAAGGCUGUGUUUUUCUCCGGACAGACUGAGGACGUGCCUGUGGGGCUUUGGGACACGGGCCUGGUGGGGCCCCUUGUUCAGAAGAGAAGACCGCCAUCUGAGCCCCAGUUGGAGGAAUGCCUGUUUUCAUUGGCGGCAUCCAGAGUGUCUGCUUGGGGCGUUCCCGCUGAGGCGCUGGUAUCUGCCAGGCGGAGCAGGUAAAGGACCCGACUGUUGCCCCUCACGUUCCAACGGCGCCUCGCAUUGGACCCCUGCCCUGGAAGCUCCACAUGCCUGGGCCGCGGGGUGGCCAAGAAAAGGGGAACCCAUAAAAUAGAGUGUCUGCUUCCCUUCGUCCUCAAGGGCACGGAACUGUCCCCUUCUUCAGGGGUGCAGAAGAGCUUUCCUAACACCCGCGGCAUAUCACCACAGGGGUAGAAUGUCAAAGCAGUAGAUAAGUACUGAACAUGCAAUGGGGCGUCGUUUUCAAACACAUUCGUUUUAAGUCUCAUCUUUGAAGUCUGUCCAAAUCUGAACUGACAAGAAAUUACUUUCCUGGAUUUCAUGGAAAUUAUCUCUAAUAUAUUUAAUAAUCACCUCUUACUUGAGCUUGUAUCCAAAUUCAAAUGUCGCCAUGCAUGUUGGCUUCUCAUAACACAGUAACUGUCUUAAGUAUUUGUAAAUAUUGGGUCAUUGAAAUGUCUUUUGCAGGAUUGCCCUGUGACUAGCAGUGUUAAAAAUAAUACUAGCCAGGCCACUACCAAAUUUUUUAUAAGAAUGUAAUAAAAAUACUGUGAGUCAUUGUAGGAGAUACA